ensembl:ncRNA Y39H10A.8 ncRNA
ACCGUAACCCAAAAAUGAAAGCUCUUCGUGACAUUCUUGAGAAAUUGAAUAAUUCGCAUUUGAGUGAAUACCGAGGGCAGCGAUUAGAUCGCUGGUUUUGUAUUUUUCCUGGAAAAU